GGGCGGGUAGCUCAGCGGGAGAGCAUCUGCCUUACACGCAGAGGGUCGUAGGUUCGAAACCUAUCUCGCCCACCA
rnacentral:tRNA from 1 species